GACGUAGGGCGCGAGCGUUGUCCGGAUUUAUUGGGCGUAAAGAGCUCGUAGGCGGCUUGUUACGUCGACUGUGAAAUCCCGCGGCUCAACUGCGGGCUUGCAGCCGAUACGGGCAGGCUAGAGUUCGGUAGGGGAGACUGGAAUUCCUGGUGUAGCGGUGGAAAUGCGCAGAUAUCAGGAGGAACACCAGUGGCGAAGGCGGAUCUC
rnacentral:rRNA from 1 species